CGCUGAGUGGCUCAGGGCUGAGGCUGGCCUCCACCUUGCGAUCCUCCUGCCUCGGCCUCCCCAGCUCGGUUCAGCGUUGAUCUCCCUUCCCUGCCUCUCACCCGCUGGCCCAUGUCCAUUUUCAGGACACAGAGAGAGAGAGGCCAGGGCUCAGGGUUUUCUUGGCAAGUCCCAAAGUGGAGCUGGAAUCCGUCACCCAAGGGCUUUGUUUUCUCUUCUCGAGGUCACUUUCUAUUUGUGGCACCUCGCAGGGUACUGUUUCUCCAGUCUGGUGUGUUAGGAUCAAGUUUCCUCUUAAAAUAGAUUGGAACGUGAAGAGGGAAAGGGAGAGGAUUCAAGCCGCACAGACAACUAAGGGGAAAUGAUCUGGGAUCCCAAUCCCCCGCAGCUGGGGGUGGAGGCCGGUGGGAGGACGCUCCCUCUGGGCUUCCUGACCCCACCCUGAGCUGCUGGGCCCUCACCUCAGACCUAUGGAGUCGGCCAUCUGUGGACUGAGCCCCGUCCCCAGCCCUUUUUUUUCUAUUUUAUUUAGAGACAGGGUCUCGCUGAGUAGCUUAGGGCUGAGGCUGGCCUCCACCUGGCGAUCCUCCUGCCUCAGCCUCCAGAGCCGCUGGGAGGACAGGUGUGGGCCCCUCGCAGAACCCAGGGGACAAGCCCACGUGGACAGGUCUGCAAAAAGACUCUGCAGGGCAGGAUGUCGAAACGGGAUCUCUGCAGAGUCAUGGAGGACCAAACAGGAAGCAGGAGGAGAACAACAUGAACUUCCCAGACUGCAGAUGGCUCCCAGAUCUGGGUGGUGAAAUGCCAAGUGGAUCCAGCAAUAGACGAUGGGGAAUUGAUUGGGAGUCAAAAGGAGAAGCAAGAAGCGUGUUCGUGGGAAGGGGAAAAACGGUCCCCAGUCUCCUGCACACCCAGGAGCAGCCCCUGGGCUAUGGGCACAGCUGAGACCAUUUCACAAGGCAGAUUCGGGUGUCGGGGACAGAAUCAUGGCAUGGGGCAGGAGGAGAGGUACCAGGGAUGGGACCCAGGGGUGCUGAACCCCUGAGCCCCGUCCCCAGCCCCUUUUUCUACUUUAUUGAGAGACAGGGUCUCGCUGAGUGGCUCAGGGCCUCGCUGAGUGGCAGAGGCUGGCCUCCACCUUGCGAUCCUCCUGCCUUGGCCUCCUGAGCCGCUGGGAUGACAGAUGUGCACCACCGAGCCUAGAGUUAAGUACUUGUCUCUUCCUUAGAGGUGCCACAGUAAAUCCAGGUCCCAUCCACUUGGGGGUUUUGGGGGUGGAUUAAAUGAUAGAUGGAUGGAUGGUGGAUGGAGGGUGGAGGGAGAUGGAUGCUUAUUACAGCUACUUAUUUAUCUCUUCCUUUGCAGAUUCUGUAGGAUAUCCAGCAUCUUUCUAUUUGGGGGGUCCUUGGAUGGAUGGACAGAUGGAUAGAUGGACGGACAGAUGGAUAUAGAUGGAUGGAUGGAUGGAUGGACCGACAGAUGGAUAGAUGGAUGGAUGAAAAAUGAGAUGGAUGGAUAAAUGACCGAUAGAUGGACAGAUGCAUAAAUGGGUGGAGAGAUGGAUGGUAGUCCAUUUUGUCCAAUUCUCUUUCCAUACCAGAUGAGAUGAUCGUGUGUGGUUUUUUUUUUUUUUUUUUUUUUUUUGCGUCUCGCAUCGCCUGUGCUGACUGAUUUUUUCCGGGAUUCAACCAUCCUUGCCUUCUUGGCACGGAUCGCAUUCUGGUGGCAUUGUAUGGUAUUUUUCUACCAUUAUUUGGAUUCAGUUUGUCGGUCUAUUAUUGAAGAGUUUUGCCUCUCUCUUCCUAAGAGACAUGGAUCCAUAGUUUUCUUUUUCUUUUUUUUUUUUUUUGGAAGAUUUUUGUGAAGAAUCGAUAUGGAUUCUCCUCCCCACGUUGGGUGGAGUUCAACGAUAAAGACCCGGACUCCUCUUUGUAGGUAGUUGGUCUUUUUUUUUUUUUUUUUCUUUUUUUUGCCUUAUUUCAAUCCCGACUAGUUAUAAAUGUAUUCAGAUUCUCUAUUUCUCUUUUGAGUUGGUUUCGGUAGUUUGCAAUUUUUUUUUUUUUUUUUUUUGCAGAAAUCUGUUCAUUUCGUCUAAGCCACCUGAUUUAUUGGCAUCUGCCCGUUCAGAGCAUUCCUUUAAAAUUCUUUCUAUUUCUGGAAAAACAAAAAACAAAAAAAAAAGGUUCCUUCUUUCAUUCCCGAUUUGAAUAAUCAGAUUUUUUUUUCCAGCAUCUUAAAGGGGAAAGAUAUCUGGAUUUUCAAAAAAGAAGAGUUUUUCCUCAAUAAAUCAUUGAAGAGGAGAGAGAAGUGGGGGGUG
ensembl:lncRNA